rnacentral:ribozyme from 1 species
AAAAAAAAAAAAAAAACAAAAAAAAAAAAAAAAAAAAAAAAUUUUUUUUUUUUUUUUUUUUUUUUUUGUUUUUUUUUUUUUUUU